rnacentral:tRNA from 1 species
CUUAAUAUGGCAGAUUAGUGCAAUGAAUUUAAGCUUCAUAUAUAAAGAUUAUUCUUUUAUUAAGA